rnacentral:rRNA from 1 species
UACGUAGGGGGCAAGCGUUGUCCGGAUUUAUUGGGCGUAAAGAGCGUGUAGGCGGCUAGGUAGGUCCGUUGUGAAAACUCGAGGCUCAACCUCGAGACGUCGAUGGAAACCAUCUAGCUAGAGUCCGGAAGAGGAGAGUGGAAUUCCUGGUGUAGCGGUGAAAUGCGCAGAUAUCAGGAAGAACACCCGUGGCGAAGGCGGCUCUCUGGUACGUGACUGGACGCUGAGACGCGAAAGCGUGGGGAGCGAACAGG